UGGGGAAUUUUGGACAAUGGGGGAAACCCUGAUCCAGCCAUCCCGCGUGUGCGAUGAAGGCCUUCGGGUUGUAAAGCACUUUUGGCAGGAAAGAAACGUCGCGGGUUAAGUACCCCGCGAAACUGACGGUACCUGCAGAAUAAGCACCGGCUAACUACGUGCCAGCAGCCGCGGUAAUACGUAGGGUGCAAGCGUUAAUUGGAAUUACUGGGUGUAAAGCGUGCGCAGGCGGUUCGGAAAGAAAGAUGUGAAAUCCCAGAGCUUAACUUUGGAACUGCAUUUUUAACUACCGGGCUAGAGUGUGUCAGAGGGAGGUGGAAUUCCGCGUGUAGCAGUGAAAUGCGUAGAUAUGCGGAGGAACACCGAUGGCGAAGGCAGCCUCCUGGGAUAACACUGACGCUCAUGCACGAAAGCGUGGGGAGCAAACAGGAUUAGAUACCCUGGUAGUCCACGCCCCUAAACGAUGUCAACUAGCUGUUGGGGGGCCCUUCGGGCCUUGGUAGCGCAGCUAACGCGUGAAGUUGACCGCCUGGGGGAGUACGGUCGCAAGAUUAAAACUCAAAGGAUUGACGGGGUCAUAGCUGUUUCCUG
rnacentral:rRNA from 1 species